rnacentral:rRNA from 1 species
AUAAGCCUAAACACCCUAAAGACACCAAACCCCAUCUGACCUUGGAAGCUAAGCAGGGCCAGCCCUGGUUAGUAAUUGGAUGGGAAGCUGCCAAGAAAACGCAGUGAUAGAUUCAUC